rnacentral:rRNA from 1 species
GACGUAGGGCGCGAGCGUUGUCCGGAUUUAUUGGGCGUAAAGAGCUCGUAGGCGGCUUGUUGCGUCGGCUGUGAAAACCCGCGGCUUAACUGUGGGCUUGCGAGCUGAUACGGGCAGGCGUAGGAGUUCGGUAGGGGAGACGUGGAAUUCCUGGAUGUAGCGGUGAAAUGACGCAGAUAUCAGGAGGAACACCGAUGGCGAAGGCAGGUCUCUGGGCCGAUACUGACGCUGAGGAGCGAAAGCGUGGGGAGCGAACAGG